AUCGAACGCUGGCGGAAUGCUUUACACAUGCAAGUCGAACGAUGAACCUUAGCUUGCUAAGGGGAUUAGUGGCGAACGGGUGAGUAAUGUAUCGGAACGUAUCCAAUAAUGGGGGAUAACUAGUCGAAAGAUUAGCUAAUACCGCAUACGUCCUACGGGAGAAAGCUAGGGACCUUCGGGCCUGGCGUUAAUGGAGCGGCCGAUAUCUGAUUAGCUAGUUGGUGGGGUAAAGGCUCACCAAGGCGACGAUCAGUAGCUGGUCUGAGAGGACGACCAGCCACACUGGAACUGAGACACGGUCCAGACUCCUACGGGAGGCAGCAGUGGGGAAGUUUGGACAAUGGGCGAAAGCCUGAUCCAGCCAUUCCGCGUGAGUGAAGAAGGCCUUCGGGUUGUAAAGCUCUUUCGCAAGGGAAGAAAACUUAAGCUCUAACAUAGCUUGAGGUUGACGGUACCUUGAUAAGAAGCACCGGCUAACUACGUGCCAGCAGCCGCGGUAA
rnacentral:rRNA from 1 species